ensembl:snRNA U6 U6 spliceosomal RNA
GCUCACUUUGGCAGAACAUAUACAAAAUUGGAACAAUACAAAAAAGAUAAGCAUGGACCCUACACAUGGAUGACACGGAAAUUUGUGAAGUUUUCCAUAUUUCU